CGCUGACGUCACCGGGGCGGUCGCCGGGAGCCCGCGCACCGGGACCCCCGGGAGGAACCACCGGGAAUUACCGGGGGCAGCUCCGGGAGGAGCCCCUGGGCACGGCGGGGCCCCGCGCGGCUCCAGGCACCGCCGCGAUGCGCAGCGGAGCAUCCCGGGAGAGGCGCGGGAAUGCCCCGGGCAGGGCAGCUGGAAUGGAGCUGGCUCCUAGGUAGGCUCUGGGUUUGCCAUGGAACCGCUGAACCACAGGUUUGGGUGGGAAGGAGCUUAAAGCCCUUCCAGCUUCCACUGUCCCAGGGGGCUCCAAGCCCCGUCCAGCCUGACCUUGGACGCUUCCAGGGAUUCUAGGGCAUCCUGUGGCACCCCAUCCUCACAGGGAAAAAAUUCUUCCCCAUGUCCAGUGCGGAUCUCCGCUGGAAAACACUCAGGUUUUGAAUAGUCACUUGCACUAAAGGCUGAAUGCUUGGAGUCAGAAAAUUCCCUGCUGUCACAUCGUCCCUUGCCUUGGAGCUGGGCUCAGGCUUACAGUGAUUCCUGUUGCACACCCUUCCCAUCCCAGGCACAUCUGAGCAUCAUCACUCUGGGCUGAAUCAGACCUGUCUGAGCAUUCACCCUCCUGUCACAGAAGAAGCAAAGGAUGCAGCAAGGCUCAGAGAGUCCCUUAUUACUGCUAAUUGGGAGGGACAGUUCAAACAGGCACACAGGAGCAGUUGUGGCGGCAGCGUGACUUGCUUCGCUAAGGAGCGGCCGGGAGGGAGCCCCGGCGCACCGCGCCUUUGUCGGGGAGCCCUCCGGAGCCGGGCAGCGAGGGAGCCGCGGCCGGACAGACGGACGGGCAGCUGUCCGGGACGCGGAGGAAGCCAGCGGCUGACGGAAGGGCUGGGCUGCUGGCUCUGCCCAUGGGAUCGGGGAUGUGCUCGGCAUUAAUGCGCCCCCGGGUCUGUGCCCUGCCUUGUUUCGGGGCUCCCUGGCAGGAGCGAGAGCUCCCCUUCCCGUAUCCCGCCUUUCCCCGUUAUUUAUCCGUUUGAGUGUUCUCAUCCAAGCUCAUAUUCCUUCAUUUAUUGCUGCUUUGCCUAAUUAAAACCUUUUGGAUUAUUCCCCUGCACGCCGAGUGCUCCUUGCAGCUGGGUACCAAUUCUACAUUUCUACAGCAGGAUUGACCCGCUGCACUCUGUUUUUAAGAGUUUUUUUUUUUUUAACGUUACUCGGGGAAAACAGCUAAGCAUAAAU
rnacentral:lncRNA from 1 species